AGUGAACGCUGGCGGUAGGCCUAACACAUGCAAGUCGAACGGCCGCACAGUAAGCGCUCGCCCUUACGGGUGGCGAGUGGCGGACGGGUGAGGCAUACAUCGGAAUCUACUUUUUCGGGGGGGAUAACGUAGGGAAACUUACGCUAAUACCGCAUACGACCAACGGGUGAAAUCAGGGGUUCUUCGGACCUUGGGCGAUUGAAUGAGCCGAUGUCGGAUUAGCUAGUUGGCGGGGUAAAGGCACACCAAGGCGACGAUACGUAGCUGGUCUGAGAGGAUGAUCGGCCACACUGGAACUGAGACACGGUCCAGACUCCUACGGGAGGCAGCAGUGGGGAAUAUUGGACAAUGGGCGCAAGCCUGAUCCAGCCAUACCGCGUGGGUGAAGAAGGCCUUCGGGUUGUAAAGCCCUUUUGUUGGGAAAGAAAAGCAGCAGGUUAAUACCCCGCUGUUCUGACGGUACCCAAAGAAUAAGCACCGGCUAACUUCGUG
rnacentral:rRNA from 1 species